AUGGCUCAGAUUGAACGCUGGCGGCAGGCUUAACACAUGCAAGUCGAGCGGUAACACUUCGGGUGACGAGCGGCGGACGGUGAGUAAUACAUAGGAAUCUGCCUAGUAGUGGGGGAUAACGUAGGGAAACUUACGCUAAUACCGCAUACAUCCUACGGGGGAAAGCAGGGGAUCUUCGGACCUUGCGCUAUUAGAUGAGCCUAUGUCGGAUUAGCUAGUUGGUGAGGUAAAGGCUCACCAAGGCGACGAUCCGUAGCUGGUCUGAGAGGAUGAUCAGCCACACUGGGACUGAGACACGGCCCAGACUCCUACGGGAGGCAGCAGUGGGGAAUAUUGGACAAUGGGCGCAAGCCUGAUCCAGCCAUGCCGCGUGUGUGAAGAAGGCCUUAGGGUUGUAAAGCACUUUCAUUGGGGAGAAAGGCUGUUUUGGUUAAUACCCAAGCAGAUUGAUGUUACCCAAAGAAGAAGG
rnacentral:rRNA from 1 species